rnacentral:rRNA from 2 species
AGAUUAAGUUAUUAAGGGCGCACGGUGGAUGCCUUGGCACUAGAAGCCGAUGAAGGACGUUACUAACGACGAUAUGCUUUGGGGAGCUGUAAGUAAGCUUUGAUCCAGAGAUUUCCGAAUGGGGAAACCCAGCAUGAGUUAUGUCAUGUUAUCGAUAUGUGAAUACAUAGCAUAUCAGAAGGCACACCCGGAGAACUGAAACAUCUUAGUACCCGGAGGAAGAAAAAGAAAAUUCGAUUCCCUUAGUAGCGGCGAGCGAAACGGGAAGAGCCCAAACCAACAAGCUUGCUUGUUGGGGUUGUAGGACACUCUAUACGGAGUUACAAAGGACGACAUUAGACGAAUCAUCUGGAAAGAUGAAUCAAAGAAGGUAAUAAUCCUGUAGUCGAAAAUGUUGUCUCUCUUGAGUGGAUCCUGAGUACGACGGAACACGUGAAAUUCCGUCGGAAUCUGGGAGGACCAUCUCCUAAGGCUAAAUACUCUCUAGUGACCGAUAGUGAACCAGUACCGUGAGGGAAAGGUGAAAAGCACCCCGGAAGGGGAGUGAAAUAGAACCUGAAACCGUGUGCUUACAAGUAGUCAGAGCCCGUUAAUGGGUGAUGGCGUGCCUUUUGUAGAAUGAACCGGCGAGUUACGAUUUGAUGCAAGGUUAAGCAGUAAAUGUGGAG